rnacentral:rRNA from 1 species
ACUGAGUGGCGACGGGUGAGUAACGCGUGAGCAACCUGCCCUUCGGAGGGGGAUAGUGUCUGGAAACGGACAGUAAUACCGCAUAACGUAUUUUUACCGCAUGAUAGAAAUACCAAAACUGAGGUGCCGAAGGAUGGGCUCGCGUUGGAUUAGAUAGUUGGUGGGGUAACGGCCUACCAAGUCGACGAUCCAUAGCCGGACUGAGAGGUUGAACGGCCACAUUGGGACUGAGACACGGCCCAGACUCCUACGGAAGGCAGCAG